GACAGAGGUCCCGAGCGUUAGGCGGAAUCACUGGGCUUAAAGCGUGUGUAGGCGGAGUGCUAAGUACCUUGUGAAAUCCCACGGCUCAACCGUGGAACUGCUUGGUAUACUGGUUCUCUUGAGCCACCUAGGGGCAACCGGAACAAACGGUGGAGCGGUGAAAUGCGUAGAUAUCGGAAGGAACAUCAGUGGCGAAAGCGGCUUCCUGGACCAGUACCGACGUUCAGGCACGAAAGCGUGGGGAGCAAACAGG
rnacentral:rRNA from 1 species